rnacentral:rRNA from 1 species
GGGGAAUAUUGGACAAUGGGGGCAACCCUGAUCCAGCCAUGCCGCGUGUGUGAAGAAGGCCUUCGGGUUGUAAAGCACUUUAAGUUGGGAGGAAGGCUUUAAGGUUAAUACCCUUGAGGAUUGACGUUACCAACAGAAUAAGCACCGGCUAACUCCGUGCCAGCAGCCGCGGUAAUACGGAGGGUGCAAGCGUUAAUCGGAAUUACUGGGCGUAAAGCGCGCGUAGGCGGCCAUUUAAGCUAGAUGUGAAAUCCCCGGGCUUAACCUGGGAAUUGCAUUUAGAACUGGAUGGCUAGAGUAUGGAAGAGGAGUGUGGAAUUUCAGGUGUAGCGGUGAAAUGCGUAGAGAUCUGAAGGAACAUCAGUGGCGAAGGCGACACUCUGGUCCAAUACUGACGCUGAGGUGCGAAAGCGUGGGGAUCAAAC